AUUGAGUGUUCAGGGGUGGCAAGAUAGUUUAAUAGUAUGCAUUUUUUUUUUUUAAUUCUUCUAGGUGCCUUGUGUUUUUCUGGAAUUCCUGACUAUUGAAGAUGGAACCUUGUUUUCUUCCCUGGUUUUGUCGUAUACUGUGUGAGCUGCUGAUAUUCUCUCUCUUAACAGGACCGAUGGUGAGAUCGUCUAGCAGGGCUUAGGUUUCCCCGCAGCUGACGGGAGGUACAACAGAGUCACAAGAGACGCGGCGUAAACAGUCUGGGCCUCUGUGUCUCAAUAUGCGGGGCUCAAUGUCAGAUGAGUCUCAUCUCGUAAGGCAUUAGAUGCGGUGGUGUAAGCAUCUCGUGAUGCUCGAUAGAUUUCCCCCCCCAGCCCAGCUUUGCCUGCCGGUGGCUAAGAAGACUCGCCGUAAGGGGCCGGCCCUCUGCCUGGAGGCUCCUGGCUCUGUCUGCAGCGGGUGCCCCGCAGCUAUUCCAGCUUAUGUGUUGCAGGUCAUCCCAGAGGCAGCGCUGAGGACUCGGUUGUGGGUUCCUCCCCGGGGAUGUUGUGGACUGCAUCUGGCUCAGGUUUGGGUGGGUUGCCUUUGGCCUCGUUCUCCGAGCGGCAUGGGCGAAAAGGGACAGCUGGAGCGCUUACUGGCUGUGGACAGGAGCUGCUGGGGCUGAAGCUGGAGAGGCCAGAAAAAGGAAAGCAGCUGAAGAAUAAAAUAAAGGGGAUCCAGCCAGCAGCAGCCUCCAGCUGCAGACAGGAGACAGCCUGCCUCUCCGGGUGAGGAAGCAUCCCUCUCAGUAUAGUCCUCAGCAGAUCUGAUCACCAGUGUGCACUGCAGGGUCUAUAUGUGCAACCAAAAGCACACUACAGCCGUGUAGUGUGUGCUCGUGUGAGGCUAUGUAUCUGGGAAGCCUCAUACUGUAAGAGCUGUAAAGACACCAAUCUAGUCUUUUGGGUGGAUGACAGUCAAGUGACUGGAGCUAG